rnacentral:rRNA from 1 species
ACUCCUACGGGAGGCAGCAGUGGGGAAUAUUGGACAAUGGGCGCAAGCCUGAUCCAGCCAUGCCGCGUGAGUGAUGAAGGCCCUAGGGUUGUAAAGCUCUUUCACCGGUGAAGAUAAUGACGGUAACCGGAGAAGAAGCCCCGGCUAACUUCGUGCCAGCAGCCGCGGUAAUACGAAGGGGGCUAGCGUUGUUCGGAUUUACUGGGCGUAAAGCGCACGUAGGCGGACUAUUAAGUCAGGGGUGAAAUCCCGGGGCUCAACCCCGGAACUGCCUUUGAUACUGGUAGUCUUGAGUUCGAGAGAGGUGAGUGGAAUUCCGAGUGUAGAGGUGAAAUUCGUAGAUAUUCGGAGGAACACCAGUGGCGAAGGCGGCUCACUGGCUCGAUACUGACGCUGAGGUGCGAAAGCGUGGGGAGCAAACAGGAUUAGAUACCCGUGUAGUCCC